GAUGAACGCUGGCGGCGUGCCUAAUACAUGCAAGUCGAGCGAGCGGACGAGAAGCUUGCUUCUCUGAUGUUAGCGGCGGACGGGUGAGUAACACGUGGAUAACCUACCUAUAAGACUGGGAUAACUUCGGGAAACCGUAGCUAAUACCGGAUAAUAUUUUGAACCGCAUGGUUCAAAAGUGAAAGACGGUCUUGCUGUCACUUAUAGAUGGAUCCGCGCUGCAUUAGCUAGUUGGUAAGGUAACGGCUUACCAAGGCAACGAUGCAUAGCCGACCUGAGAGGGUGAUCGGCCACACUGGAACUGAGACACGGUCCAGACUCCUACGGGAGGCAGCAGUAGGGAAUCUUCCGCAAUGGGCGAAAGCCUGACGGAGCAACGCCGCGUGAGUGAUGAAGGUCUUCGGAUCGUAAAACUCUGUUAUUAGGGAAGAACAUAUGUGUAAGUAACUGUGCACAUCUUGACGGUACCUAAUCAGAAAGCCACGGCUAACUACGU
rnacentral:rRNA from 1 species